GUGUGCUCUCCCUCUCUCCGCUCCGGAGCCCAGCUGACUACCCACAGCUGUCUAUCAUCAACCUCCACCUCCGACCGCCACACCUGCCAGCUAUCAGCCUCAUCUCUACCAGUAUUUCAACCCCGGCUCUCCACUCCAUCCCCGCUUGAUUGUCGCCGCUCCAGACUUGGUCCACUCACCUCUGUCUCCCAUUCGGUCAGCUGGGCUCACCUACCUGCCUUCCCCUCUUGCAUCGCCUCCACGGCUCUCCCUGGUUCCCCCUUCGCUCCUCGCCUGACCGCCAGCUACCACAUCCUUUCCUGCCUCUCGUUACUUCAUCUAAGAGACUUCUUCAGUUUUGAAUGACUGGUAGAGAAACUCAGCUAUUUAACGUCUGUGGGGUCGUUGCCAAGACACAAUUUUGUGUUUAUGGGAACGUGACGAGACGAGAUUUCAACACUUUAAGAAAUUAUCUAUGCUGAAUUAUAUGAAAAAUUUGAGCAUUAAACACACCAAUUCCUGCAUUCUGGUGAAUAUUUUUUUUAAAACAAUUUCUGCUUUUUCUGCAUCAAUUUAUGGUGAAAAUGUUUUUAUGGCUUUUUUUGUAGAGUGAAGCUGAAGACAGCGCCUGGUGUAAAGUUCUUAUAACAGCAGCAUUACACUCAAUUGGGUCAUUAAUGUGAAAUCUGCCUAAGUAAAGAAUUUUGGUUAGCU